rnacentral:sRNA from 1 species
GCUCAUGAAAUUUGGUGAUGUGACUCGGAUAGGGGGACCUCCCUUGGGAGAUCAGUACCCUGUCCUCCUGCUCUUUGCUCCGUGAGAAAGAUCCACCUACAACCUCAGGUCCUUAGACCAACCAGCCCAAGAAACAUCUCACCAAUUUCAAAUCCAGACCCCACUGGAAAUCGGACUGUCCAACUCACCUGACAGCCACUCCCACAGCCGCUGGAACUCUGGCCCAAGGCUCUCUGACUCCUUCCCAGAUCUUCUUGGCUUAGCGGCUGAAGACUGACGCUGCCCGAUCGCCUCGGAAGCCCCCUAGACCAUCACGGACGCCGAGCUUCGGGUAACUCUCACAGUGGAAGAAGAAAACAGAUUCGGUUUACCUGAGACUCAACUUCAAUCCCUUGGACAGAAGAGUGCUAUGCUAGGUGCCAGAAACACAACUACAGAUUUCUACCUGGUGCAUGGCCAUCGCUCAUGAAGACUACAACUUCCAGCUUCCUUUGAAGAAAAAGAGGACUUGAUGGCAUUGUCGCUAAGUAAGAAAUAAUGUGUGUGACUUCAGGGUUGCCCCCUUAAAGGGAGGGGACAUUUUCCAUCCUGCUGUUCAGAGUAUGGAUGUGAUGAGAGACAUCUUGGAUGAUGCAGAGGAGGUGAACACCCCAGGACAAUGAAACCACAGGAGAGAAAGAGCCUGCGCUGGCCCAUCUAGCACAGCCACUGGACACAGGGACCACCUGCCUCUGCACUCUUAUGGAAGGAGGAAAUCUAACUUUCCCAGUUUAAGGCACUGUUACUUUGGGCUCCUGUUACAUAACUGUGGCAGAAUGAAGGUUCAACAUGGAAACUGGCAAUGUUGAAGAAACAUAAAGUUCAUUGCUUGAAUAUCUGAAGUUGUGGACUCAAUCUCAUACCUGCUCCACUUAUGAGCCCCGUUAGGGCAUGAGCUGCUGAAUGAUUCAUGUGAACACCAUGCACAUGGGAGUGAGGUUUUGAGCAGUGUGCCACAGGAGCCUACCCUCAGGCCCCACCAUAAAAUGUAGGGCCAGUCCUACAUUUUAUCAAUGACUUGCGUGAACACAGAAAAUGUGGAUACAACCAAAAGGUAACAAUCCAAUUAAAAAAUGGACAAAAAACUUGAAUAAACAUUUCUCAAAAGAAGAUAUACAAAUGAUCAAAAAGCAUAUGAAAAAAUGCUCAACAUCGCUAAUUGUAAGAGAAAUGCAAAUCAAAACUAUAAUGAGAUACCACCUUAUAUUGAUUAGGAAGACUGCUAUAAAAAUAGUAAACAAACAAACAAACAAAGUAAGUCUUGGGGAGGAUGCAGAGAAAUUAAAAUUUUUGUGCACUGUUAGUGGGAAUGUAAAAUGGUGCAGCUGUUACGGGAAACGGUAUGA